rnacentral:rRNA from 1 species
AUGUUGCAGGCGCUCAUCGUGACCAGCGCCUACCUCGUGGAGGUCCGGCGCAUGCGCGUGAUCCGGGAGCACCCCGUCCGCGGCCCCCACGAGACGGUGCCGAUGAGCGUCUUUUGGAUGCUGCCGCAGUACGUGAUCCUUGGCGUCGGCGACGUGUUCAACACCAUCGGAGUCCUCGAGUUCUUCUACGACCAGUCGCCGGAGGGGAUGCAGAGGCUGGGGACCACCUUCUACACCAGCGGGCUUGGCGUCGGGAACUUCCUCAGCAGCCUGCUCGUGACGCUCGUCGACCGGACCACCAGGGCGACCGUCGGCAAGAGCUGGAUCGGCGACAACCCGAACGACUCACACCUCGACUACUACUACGUGUUCCUGCUGGUGCUCUCCGUGGCCAACAUGGCGCUCUUCGUGUGGGUGGCGAUGAGGUACAAGUACAACGGCGCAAUGGGGACGCCUGAGGCCGAGGCUGAGAUGGUGGCCGGCGGCAAGGUAACGGCGGACUCGCCGCUGGUGGUGGAGCGUGAUAAGGUGGAGGGCGUGCAUCUUGCGUAA